AUCUUCUGAUUUGCCGAUCGUAUAAAUACCCAAUGUUACAACGAAGAUGAUCAGAAAACUGCAAGGUAUGUAAAAGUGAUCGAAAAAGAUAUUUUACAAUUUUUACAUUUUCGAGAUCAUACAUUAAAAUGAGAACACUGUUUGUAAUUCUGGCCAUUUGCUUCGCGAUGAUUCCAUUAAUCAUGGGUUGCAAACCACCUGGUUUACUAUGCUCCGACGACAAAGACUGCUGUGGACCGUUAGUAUGCAACCCAUGGGCUGGACGAUGCACCAAGAAAAUGAGUCCACCGGUACCACCGCCGGGCUGGGGAAAUCAGCCAGAAGAUUCAACCGCGUCACCUGUCCAGGCCCAAUGAAUCAGCGAUGGAUCGAUAUCAAUGUUAUCUCAUAGCCCUAGAAAUCUAGUUAGAGUGGUAUUCGUUAAAUUGAAAUCUUAAAACUUUCCUUGUAUAUAUAUAUAUAUAUAUAUUUAUAUAUGCACGUUCUGUUAUAAUGAUAUUAUGUUUAACAUAAUAUUUAUCUGAUCAAAAAUUUGGAAUCAUUUCUGUUUUCAACAUCGAAUAUUAUUUAUUAGUUUUCGAUUGAAAAUUAUAGUUGAUCAUUAUAUUAUAUAGACUUCUUGUGAAUAUAUGAUUUAUUUGUAGAUAAUGGAAUUUUAAUAGGAUUCUUUCUUUCAUUUUUUUUUUUUAUUUUAAAAGCUCUCAAGUGAUGAUAAAGUGAGGAAUUGAUAUGAUACAUUGGUUUAUAGUUUGUAACUAUAUAGUAGUUUGAGUAAAGUGUUCUUUCAAUAUUUAAUGAUAA